CCUACGGGGGGCUGCAGUCGAGAAUAAUUCGCAAUGGACGAAAGUCUGACGAUGCGACGCCGUGUGAACGAUGAAGGCCUUCGGGUUGUAAAGUUCUGUCGCCCAUGAACAAGGUUGCAUGGUAAAUAAUCGUGUAAUUUGAGGGUAAUGGGAAAGGAAGCACCGGCUAACUCCGUGCCAGCAGCUGCGGUAAUACGGAGGGUGCAAGCGUUAGUCGGAAUUACUGGGCGUAAAGGGUGCGUAGGCGGAGAUAUAAGUCAGAUGUGAAAAACCAA
rnacentral:rRNA from 1 species